rnacentral:tRNA from 1 species
GAGGCUGGAGCCAGGCGGCACGGCAACCGGCUGCAACCCGGUCCAAAUGGGUACGACUCCCACCGGCCUCU